rnacentral:rRNA from 1 species
GAUGAACGCUGGCGGCGUGCCUAAUACAUGCAAGUCGAGCGAACAGAUGAGGAGCUUGCUCCUCUGACGUUAGCGGCGGACGGGUGAGUAACACGUGGAUACCCUACCUAUAAGACUGGGAUAACUACGGGAAACCGGAGCUAAUACCGGAUAAUAUAUUGAACCGCAUGGUUCAAUAGUGAAAGACGGUUUUGCUGUCCCUUAUAGAUGGUUCCGCGCCGCAUUAGCUAGUUGGUAAGGUAACGGCUUACCAAGGCUACGAUGCGUAGCCGACCUGAGAGGGUGAUCGGCCACACUGGAACUGAGACACGGUCCAGACUCCUACGGGAGGCAGCAGUAGGGAAUCUUCCGCAAUGGGCGAAAGCCUGACGGAGCAACGCCGCGUGAGUGAUGAAGGUCUUCGGAUCGUAAAACUCUGUUAUUAGGGAAGAACAAAUGUGUAAGUAAAUAUGCACGUCUUGACGGUACCUAAUCAGAAAGCCACGGCUAACUACGUG